rnacentral:rRNA from 1 species
GACGAACGCUGGCGGCGUGCCUAAUACAUGCAAGUCGAGCGGACAGAAGGGAGCUUGCUCCCGGAAGUUAGCGGCGGACGGGUGAGUAACACGUGGGCAACCUACCCUGUAGAUCGGGAUAACAUCGAGAAAUCGGUGCUAAUACCGGAUAAUCAUUUGAAGUGCAUGCUUCGAAUGUAAAGAUGGCUCCGGCUAUCACUACGGGAUGGGCCCGCGGCGCAUUAGCUAGUUGGUAAGGUAAUGGCUUACCAAGGCAACGAUGCGUAGCCGACCUGAGAGGGUGAUCGGGCACCCUGGGACCGAGAAACGGCCCAGACUCCUACGGGAGGCAGCAGGAGGGAAUCUUCCGCAAUGGACGAAAGUCUGACGGAGCAACGCCGCGUGAGUGAUGAAGGUUUUCGGAUCGUAAAGCUCUGUUGUUAGGGAAGAACAAGUGCCGUUUGAAUAAGGCGGCACCUUGACAGUACCUAACCAGAAAGCCACGGCUAACUACGUGCCAGCAGCCGCCGUAACAC